UGUAAAUCAGCCUCCCUAGUGAUGUGUAGCUGCACAGAGGAAGCUGAAUUAUGGUUGUAGCAAACUAGGAAAAUGCCUGUAUUAUCUUUUGUGAAUAUUACUUACAGAUCUCCUUUAUUUAUUUGUGUAUCACUUGCUGCAUGGUUGUAUAAGAAGUUUAAGGAGGUAAGACAUCCUCUGUUGUCCAGCUUCUUCAGAGUUCAAGCAAGGACUGGGUUGUUUGCUUAGACCAGUUCUCUCUAGACAACAAUAAGGAUUAAAUUUUGAAUCUUUUAGAGCAAAGUGGGACUUGGUUGAACCAGAAGAGGCUGGCUGUACAAGAGGAAGCUUCUGUGCUUGCAGAAACUCAAGAAUUGUUGACUGAUUGCUGGAGCUCAGUGAAGGUGUAGAGAGCAGAAUAGCUGUGGAGCACUCAGACUCUAAUGUGGGAGCACUAGCCAGACAUAAAUCUGAAAUACCACUUUGC